rnacentral:rRNA from 1 species
AUGGGCGCCGUCGCCAACGCUGUCCGAGUCGCCCUUGACCUCGCGAGUGACCAUGCACCAUUUGAACUCCGCUCCUUGAUACACAUCCGGCAUCUCCUCGCCUGCCUCCAUGCCGACGACCAUCUUCUCAGAUGCGCCGGCGCUGCUGACGCGCAGGCGCUGCAUGUUGAGGUUGGCGUUGAUGCGCGUGGCAAGGUAGGCCUCGACGGCAUCGUAGACACAAUUUCGGCACCAGCCCUCGGUCUCCUUGAUGACGAUGGUGUGCUGCCACGUCAUGCGCGAGCGGAGGCUGGCGAGGGCCGAGGACAGCGCGUCGCGCACCUCGGACGGCAGCAGCUCGUUCGCGAGGCUGCGGACCAGCAUCAGGGACGCCGCGAGGGAGGCCGCCGUGGCGAUGGUCUUGUCGUAGGACGGCGCCAUGUGCUCCCUGGUAGAUGGCCGAAUUGGUGUUGUGCAUUGUGUCUGUGUGCUUGGUUGACUGGCUGA